AACGAACGCUGGCGGCAUGCCUAACACAUGCAAGUCGAACGAGACCUUCGGGUCUAGUGGCGCACUGGUGCGUAACGCGUGGGAAUCUGCCCUCAGGUACGGAAUAACUCAGGGAAACUUGAGCUAAUACCGUAUAAUGACUUCGGUCCAAAGAUUUAUCGCCUGGGGAUGAGCCCGUGUCGGAUUAGCUAGUUGGUGAGGUAAAGGCUCACCAAGGCGACGAUCCGUAGCUGGUCUGAGAGGAUGAUCAGCCACACUGGGACUGAGACACGGCCCAGACUCCUACGGGAGGCAGCAGUGGGGAAUAUUGGACAAUGGGCGCAAGCCUGAUCCAGCAAUGCCGCGUGAGUGAUGAAGGCCUUAGGGUUGUAAAGCUCUUUUACCCGGGAAGAUAAUGACUGUACCGGGAGGAAUAAGCCCCGGCUAACUCCGUGCCAGCAGCCGCGGUAAUACGGAGGGGGCUAGCGUUGUUCGGAAUUACUGGGCGUAAAGCGCACGUA
rnacentral:rRNA from 1 species